GAAAUUACAGCAGUGUCACAUUCACACGCUUGUCUGCAGAAUCUCAUCCAAGUUAACUUUAAAUUCCAUCUGGAAAGAUCCGAGUACAUUCCAAAUGAGUUUCCAGGUCUGUUUUUUAGAUAGACGAAAGGAGACUGAAAUAAAAGUUUCUGUGGCGAACUCUGAGGAGGAAUUCAAGAACACCACAGUUGAAGAGUUACAAAGAAACUCUUGUCUGAAGACAGCAGAUAUAAAGUCUGUGAACUUUACUGCAAUGACCAGCUUCUGUUUAAUGAUCGUACACUUGGCUCUCAUGGCAUUAAACACAAUGAUGUUAUUGUGAUUGCACCAACGAUGCUUCCACAAUCUCUCUCAUCUGAAGAUGAACGUGAAGGUGAAUUCAUAUCCAGGACUGAAUCAAUGGAGAAAUUAACUCUGAACAUGUAAAUGCGUUAGACUCACACUGAAUUCACAGAGGAGGUUUAAAGCAUGUUGAUGUAUUAAUUAGUGCAGUGCAUCAUUAAUGAAACCGCUUCACACGAUCUACCGAGAAUUAUAAAUACAUUCACACUGAGUGUUGAUCAGAUAAAGUGUAAUAUCAAUCUAACUUACUUCAUUCACUGUCAACUCAAUAUUAAACACAGUAUAUGAUGGAGUUUGUGUUUUCAUGUGUCUCUGUACAUUCAUAUGCAAAUAUUGUACAUGACCCUACAUUCAUUGAAUCAAACAUGCUUUUGAAUAUUUUUAUUUAGUGAAAAGUGUGAUUUCAGUAAUAAGCUCAGAGAGAAAUCUCUAGUAGUAAUAAUAGUAGACCACUCAACAGUGGGGAAUUUAUGCAAUAUUUUUGAGAUGAGGCAGAUUAUGACUUUAUGAUGAAAGAUUAUGAAGACAGACAUUCUGAGGUGUGUCUUCACUGUACAGUGCGUUGUUUAACAACACACCGAUUGUUCAAGUAACAAAGCCUCUUUCUGAAUAAAACUCCCAAGUAGACAAACUUUCAUAAAACUGUUUUAAAAAGUUGUGAAAAUGUGUUUUAAGAUCUAUAAGAAGGGGUGAAGUUUGUGGGGGAUAUUAUUGAAAUGUACAA